rnacentral:rRNA from 1 species
UGCCGCGUGAGUGACGAAGGCCCUAGGGUCGUAAAGCUCUUUCGCCUGUGAAGAUAAUGACGGUAGCAGGUAAAGAAACCCCGGCUAACUCCGUGCCAGCAGCCGCGGUAAUACGGAGGGGGUUAGCGUUGUUCGGAAUUACUGGGCGUAAAGCGCGCGUAGGCGGACCAUCAAGUUGGGGGUGAAAUCCCGGGGCUCAACCCCGGAACUGCCUCCAAAACUGGUGGUCUGGAGUUCGAGAGAGGUGAGUGGAAUUCCGAGUGUAGAGGUGAAAUUCGUAGAUAUUCGGAGGAACACCAGUGGCGAAGGCGGCUCACUGGCUCGAUACUGACGCUGAGGUGCGAAAGUGUGGGGAGCAAACAGGAUUAGAUACCCUGGUAGUCCACACCGUAAACGAUGAAUGCCAGACGUCGGGCAGCAUGCUGUUCGGUGUCACACCUAACGGAUUAAGCAUUCCGCCUGGGGAGUACGGCCGCAAGGUUAAAACUCAAAGGAAUUGACGG